rnacentral:rRNA from 1 species
UCGAACGAUGAUGCCCAGCUUGCUGGGCGGAUUAGUGGCGAACGGGUGAGUAACACGUGAGUAACCUGCCCCUGACUCUGGGAUAAGCGUUGGAAACGACGUCUAAUACUGGAUAUGAUCACCGGCCGCAUGGUCUGGUGGUGGAAAGAUUUUUUGGUUGGGGAUGGACUCGCGGCCUAUCAGCUUGUUGGUGAGGUAAUGGCUCACCAAGGCGACGACGGGUAGCCGGCCUGAGAGGGUGACCGGCCACACUGGGACUGAGACACGGCCCAGACUCCUACGGGAGGCAGCAGUGGGGAAUAUUGCACAAUGGGCGAAAGCCUGAUGCAGCAACGCCGCGUGAGGGAUGACGGCCUUCGGGUUGUAAACCUCUUUUAGUAGGGAAGAAGCGAAAGUGACGGUACCUGCAGAAAAAGCACCGGCUAACUACGUGCCAGCAGCCGCGGUAAUACGUAGGGUGCAAGCGUUGUCCGGAAUUAUUGGGCGUAAAGAGCUCGUAGGCGGUUUGUCGCGUCUGCUGUGAAAUCCCGAGGCUCAACCUCGGGCUUGCAGUGGGUACGGGCAGACUAGAGUGCGGUAGGGGAGAUUGGAAUUCCUGGUGUAGCGGUGGAAUGCGCAGAUAUCAGGAGGAACACCGAUGGCGAAGGCAGAUCUCUGGGCCGUAACUGACGCUGAGGAGCGAAAGCAUGGGGAGCGAACAGGAUUAGAUACCCUGGUAGUCCAUGCCGUAAACGUUGGGCGCUAGAUGUAGGGACCUUUCCACGGUUUCUGUGUCGUAGCUAACGCAUUAAGCGCCCCGCCUGGGGAGUACGGCCGCAAGGCUAAAACUCAAAGGAAUUGACGGGGGCCCGCACAAGCGGCGGAGCAUGCGGAUUAAUUCGAUGCAACGCGAAGAACCUUACCAAGGCUUGACAUACACCGGAAACGGCCAGAGAUGGUCGCCCCCUUGUGGUCGGUGUACAGGUGGUGCAUGGUUGUCGUCAGCUCGUGUCGUGAGAUGUUGGGUUAAGUCCCGCAACGAGCGCAACCCUCGUUCUAUGUUGCCAGCGGGUUAUGCCGGGGACUCAUAGGARACUGCCGGGGUCAAYUCGGAGGAAGGUGGGGAUGACGUCAAAUCAUCAUGCCCCUUAUGUCUUGGGCUUCAGCAUGCUNNAUGGCCGGUACAAGGGCUGCAAUACCGUAAGG